rfam:Pteropus alecto contig165478, whole genome shotgun sequence.
CAGUGUUGUUUGCUUUGAAAAUCUCUUAGUUUUGGGGACAGCAAUAUUGGUACGCGUAGCAAAAUUACCAAAGCCCGGAGCUAUACUUACUAAAUUUUUAUACAGUACCGUCUUUACCAGAGGUAUAUGUUUAAAGCACAAAGGAAACUUUGCUUUUCUGAAAGAAUG